rnacentral:rRNA from 1 species
UCGAGAAUCAUUCACAAUGGGGGAAACCCUGAUGGUGCAACGCCGCGUGGAGGAUGAAGGCCCUAGGGUUGUAAACUCCUGUCAUCAGAGAGUAAGGCAUGAGAAAGGAAAUGUUUUCAUGUUUGAUAGUAUCUGAAGAGGAAGGGACGGCUAACUUCGUGCCAGCAGCCGCGGUAAUACGAAGGUCCCGAGCGUUGUUCGGAAUCACUGGGCGUAAAGGGAGCGUAGGCGGUUAGGUAAGUCAGAUGUGAAAUCCCGGGGCUCAACCCCGGAACUGCAUCCGAUACUGCCUGACUAGAGUAUUGGAGAGGAAAGUGGAAUUCUCGGUGUAGCAGUGAAAUGCGUAGAUAUCGAGAGGAACACCAAUGGCGAAGGCAACUUUCUGGACAAUAACUGACGCUGAGGCUCGAAGGCUAGGGUAGCGAAAGGGAUUAGAUACCCCCGUAGUCC